rnacentral:rRNA from 1 species
UACGUAGGGUGCAAGCGUUAAUCGGAAUUACUGGGCGUAAAGCGUGCGCAGGCGGUUCUAUAAGACAGAUGGGAAAUCCCCUGGCUCAACCUGGGAACUGCAUUUGUGACUGUAGAGCUGGAGUGCGGCAGAGGGGGAUGGAAUUCCGCGUGUAGCAGUGAAAUGCGUAGAUAUGCGGAGGAACACCGAUGGCGAAGGCAAUCCCCUGGGCCUGCACUGACGCUCAUGCACGAAAGCGUGGGGAGCAAACAGG